UACAGAGGUCCCGAGCGUUGUUCGGAUUCACUGGGCGUAAAGGGUGCGUAGGUGGUGAGGUAAGUCUUAUGUGAAAGCUCGGAGCUUAACUCCGAAAUGGCAUAGGAAACUACCUUGCUGGAGGGUUGGAGGGGGGACUGGAAUACUUGGUGUAGUAGUGAAAUGCGUAGAUAUCAAGUGGAACACCAGUGGCGAAGGCGAGUCCCUGGACAACUCCUGACACUGAGGCACGAAAGCUAGGGGAGCAAACGGG
rnacentral:rRNA from 1 species